rnacentral:rRNA from 1 species
GAUCCUGGCUCAGGACGAACGCUGGCGGCGUGCUUAACACAUGCAAGUCGAACGAGAAUCUACUGAAGGAGUUUUCGGACAACGGAAGCAGAGGAAAGUGGCGGACGGGUGAGUAACGCGUGAGGAACCUGCCUUGAAGAGGGGGACAACAGUUGGAAACGACUGCUAAUACCGCAUGACGCAUAGAGGUCGCAUGAUCUUUAUGCCAAAGAUUUAUCGCUUCAAGAUGGCCUCGCG